CCGCUCGCCAGCCGCGGCCCAGCCUGCCCGAAGGAGGCCUGGCUCCGCCGCCUCUCUCUGUCCUCCUCGGGCGAGCGUACUCACCGCAUCCUCCCAGUUCUGCCUGUUGUAGGUGUUGGAACCCAGAGAGGUCGCCAUCUUGAGAGCGUCUGGAGGCAGCGGCGGCUUCCGAGUGGGGAGAGGGGACCGCCACAAUCCCGGCAGGCCCCGAGGCUGGCUCCCGGCCCGCUGACGUCUUAUUUAUGCGUCUCGGGCGCCCUUGGGGGGCGGCGCUUGUGCGUCAUGACGUCACCCGGAAUUUCUUACCGGUUGGGAGUGCGGGUGGGUGGUACCCUGAUGCUUGCUUCGAGUUGGCCGCUGCCUGGGGAGAAGAGCCGCCAGUACAAUUGGUUUAUUUUAAAGUUGAGCGAAAAAAAUAAAGGAACAACUUUGCAGGCUGGCUCCCUGUCAAAUGGAGGGCUCUGAAGGAGACUAGAAACCUGGAGGGGAAAGAGCUUGCUCCUGCCUACAAGCUUCCUAUUUGUGUGUGGUUCUCUGGCAGGCAUCACUCCAGCAAUGCUUCCUCACCCAGGAAGGGGCAGUACCUGCUGCAGUUUUAGACUGGAUCCUGACUGAUGUACUCCUCAUCCCAGGAA